GACACAUUUCAAACCACCCUGCCAGCAGCAUACCACCCUGCAUCCCACUGCGGGCUUGCCUCUGAAGCUAAGCAGGGUUGGUCCUGGUCGGUCACUGGAUGGGAGACCAGAUGAUUCUGGAAGUGGUGUUG
ensembl:rRNA 5S_rRNA 5S ribosomal RNA